rnacentral:rRNA from 1 species
AUGGUCUUGAAGCUUCCACGCCGUCUCCCCACGGCACCACGAAGUGAGAAAACUACAGUCAAUUAUCUUACUAGACUCAUCAGGUUCUUUCAUCAAUUGCAAGAGUUAUUCUCUGACCAGUCCCAUGCUGAUGGCUCACUUGCAACUGACCAAAACACUGUCAAUGUGGAUGAUGACAGCGAGGAAGUGAGGGAACUUGAGGCCAAUUUAAUUCCAGUAGACAACGAUGAAGCUGACUCUGAUACUAUUGAUCGUCACAGUCCUAAAGUUGACUUGGAAGGCAAGUCUUUAAACAAGAAGCGCAAGCAUGUGUCACCUUCACCUUCCAAGAAGCCAACUAUGGGGAAAGCAAACAAGAAGGGCACGAUAUCUAAUGAUGAUAUGUCAGCCAGUAUCAACAAGCUAGCUGACUCUCUUGCAUCUCCUAUUGUUUCUGUGCAACCAAUGCCACCUACAGAUCCAUAUGCAAACCUUUGGAAGCGGAUAAAUGCCCUUACCAUACCAGCUAAGGAUAAACUUGAGAUUGUAGCACAUCUAUCCAAGCCAGAAAAAGAUAUCUUCCGUAGUUACCUCAACUAUGCUGAUGAAACAAUUCUUGGACAUUGGGUCCGUAGCUUCUUCAAGCCUCGGUUUCAAGAAGAUGAUGGCAAUGGUGAAUCUGAACUGCUCACUGAAUGGCCACAUGACUAG